GUUGCAUAUCCAAAUAAGCGGAGGAAAAGAAACCAACAGGGAUUGCCUCAGUAGCGGCGAGUGAAGCGGCAAAAGCUCAGAUUUGAAAUCGUGUUUCGGCACGAGUUGUAGAUUGCAGGUUGGAGUCUUUGUGGAAGCGUGUGUCUAAGUCCCUUGGAACAGGGUGCCAUUGAGGGUGAGAGCCCCGUGAGACGCGUGCGGAAGCUGUAAGGCCCUUCUGACGAGUCGAGUUGUUUGGGAAUGCAGCUCUAAGUGGGUGGUAAAUUCCAUCUAAGGCUAAAUAUUGGCGAGAGACCGAUAGCGAACAAGUACUGUGAAGGAAAGAUGAAAAGCACUUUGAAAAGAGAGUGAAACAGCACGUGAAAUUGUUGAAAGGGAAGGGUAUUGGGCUCGACAUGGGAUUUGCGCACCGCUGCUCCUUGUGGGCGGCGCUCUGUGCUUUUCCUGGGCCAGCAUCGGUUUUUGCCGCAGGAGAAGGCGUGCUGGAAUGUGGCUCUUCGGAGUGUUAUAGCCAGUGCGAGAUGCUGCGUGCGGGGACCGAGGACUGCGACAUCUGUCUCGGAUGCUGGCACAACGGCGCAAUACCGCCCGUCUUGAACCACCGGACCAAA
rnacentral:rRNA from 1 species